rnacentral:rRNA from 1 species
UAGAGUUUGAUCAUGGCUCAGGAUGAACGCUGGCGGCGUGCCUAAUACAUGCAAGUCGAACGUGAUUCUCGUUUUCGGAUGAGAUGAAAGUGGCGCACGGGUGAGUAACACGUAGCUGACCUGCCCUUCAGUGGGGAACAACGGGUGGAAACGCCCGCUAAUACCGCAUACGCUCGUGGCAGCUAGACAACCGCGAGGAAAGCUUUAGUGCUGAAGGAGGGGGCUGCGGCCCAUCAGGUAGUUGGUGCGGUAACGGCGCACCAAGCCGACGACGGGUAGGGGGCCUAAGAGGGUGACCCCCCACACUGGGACUGAGACACGGCCCAGACUCCUACGGGAGGCAGCAGUAAGGGAUAUUGCGACAAUGGACGCAAGUCUGACGCAGCAACGCCGCGUGAGGGAUGACGGCCUUCGGGUUGUAAACCUCUUUUCUGUGGGAAGAGACAGGACGGUACCACAGGAAGAAGUCACGGCUAACUACGUGCCAGCAGCCGCGGUAAAACGUAGGUGGCAAGCGUUAUCCGGAUUUACUGGGUGUAAAGCGUGUGCAGGCGGUCGUGUAAGUAGCGCGUGAAAGCGCCCGGCUCAACCGGGCGAGGACGUGCUGUACUGCACGACUGGAGAUGGGUAGAGGCGAGUGGAAUUCCGGGUGUAGUGGUGAAAUGCGUAGAUAUCCGGAGGAACACCAGAGGCGAAGGCGACUCGCUGGGCCCGUUCUGACGCUCAGACACGACAGCAUGGGGAGCGAACGGGAUUAGAAACCCCGGUAGUCCAUGCCGUAAACGAUGCAGACUAGGUAUCGCGGGGGUAAAACCCGGCGGCGCCGCAGCCAACGCGCUAAGUCUGCCACCUGGGGACUACGGCCGCAAGGUUAAAACUCAAAGGAAUUGACGGGGGCCCGCACAAGCAGCGGAGCGUGUGGUUUAAUUCGAGGCUACACGAAGAACCUUACCUAGGCUUGACAUACAGGUGGUAGGGAACCGAAAGGGGACCGACCUUCGGGAGCCUGUACAGGUGCUGCAUGGCUGUCGUCAGCUCGUGUCGUGAGAUGUUCGGUUAAGUCCGGUAACGAGCGCAACCCUCAGGUCCAGUUACAUGUGUCUGGAGCGACUGCCCGUAGAAAGCGGGAGGAAGGUGGGGACGACGUCAAGUCAGCAUGGCCUUUAUGCCUAGGGCUACACACACGCUACAAUGGCCAACACAAUGGGUCGCCAACCCGCGAGGGGGAGCCAAUCCAGUCAAAGUUGGUCUCAGUUCGGAUUGCAGGCUGCAACCCGCCUGCAUGAAGUCGGAGUUGCUAGUAAACGCGCAUCAGCUAUGGCGCGUUGAAUACGUUCCCGGGCCUUGUACACACCGCCCGUCACGUCAUGGGAGCUGGUCAUGCCUGAAGUCGGUGCGCUAACCGCAAGGAGGCAGCCGCCGAAGGCAGGGCUGGUGACUGGGACGAAGUCGUAACAAGGUAACCGUAA